GAGACUUGGCGGUGCUCUUCAUCCACCUAGGGGAGCCUGUUCUAUAAUCGAUGAUCCACGAUCUACCUCACCACUUAUCGCCAAAUCCGCCUAUAUACCGCCGUCGCCAACCCACCCCUUGAAGGUAAAAUAGUAAGUCUAAGGGUUUAUAACCAACACGUCAGGUCAAGGUGUAGCUAAUGAAGUGGGAAGAAAUGGGCUACAUUUUCUAAUCUAGAAUACACGAAAGAUCACUUAUGAAAUCUGAUCGGAAGGAGGAUUUAGCAGUAAAAAGAAAUUAGCAAGUUCUUUUAAAGUUGUCCUAGAGCGCGUACAUACCGCCCGUCACCCUCUUCGACCCAACACACUGAACUAAAUAAAAAGUAUACGGAACCAAGAAGAGGUAAGUCGUAACAUGGUAAGCGUACCGGAAGGUGCGCUUGG
rnacentral:rRNA from 1 species